rnacentral:tRNA from 1 species
GCCCAGGUGGCGGAAUUGGUAGACGCGCUAGCUUCAGGUGCUAGUGUCCUUACGGACGUGGAGGUUCAAGNNCCUGGGCACCA